GUCUCGGCCCGUCCUCACCCUCAGGGCUCCCAGGGCCAAGGCUCUGGUGGGUGACAUGUUGGAGCUCCACUGUGAGGCCCAAACAGGCUCUCCUCCAAUUCUGUACCGGUUUUAUCAUGAGGAUGUGACCCUGGGGAGCAGCUCGGCCCCCUCAGGAGGAGGAGUGCCCUUCAGCCUCUCUCUGACUGCAGAACAUUCUGGAAACUACUGUGAGGCCAACAAUGGGCUGAGGCCCCAGCACUGUGAAUUAGUGCCACUCAGUGUCACAGGUGAGUUGACCCUGCCCACCAGUAGAACAAUUAAGGAGCUCUAGCACCUUUAUCACACUGUGUGACAUCCUGCCUACCUCCUGCCUAUAGAACCCCCACUGGGAUGUCUGGGGUCCUUCCUGUGGUUAUGGUUUCAGGAACCAGGAGCUUCCCAGCAGCCCCAUUAAACUGCCUUCUUGACUGAUCAAAACUCACUGAAAAUGCCAAGCACACUCUUUAGAACGUAGACUGUAUUCCGAUCUGCAGUUAUGACAUGACAGGGAAACCCAACGAUUCCGAGAGGGGGCUUCUCUGCUGCAAGGAAGGGGAGGCCCGUCCCCGUCUGGGUGCUCCUCUCAGCGACUCCCACGGGGCUCCCUGCUCUCGAGCGUCUUUCAUUACAAAGGAUGUAAGUGUGCCCCACAAUUCCACACUGGAAACCCUGUUAACAGGAGCUGUGUGCACAGCCUUUCAGGAGACACAGCCAGUCAAGUUAGUUCACAAAGUGGCCGUGAAAGCAGCGGGGACCCAGGGGGCCAGCACAGGAAAGGUGAGAACAGGAAGACGUGGAGUGGAAAUGGCCGCCCAGCAGUCAAGUCCCUCUGUUCGCAAAGCUGCCCUGUGACGUCGUGCCAUUAAGUGUGACAUCCAGAGGGAAGAAAGUGCUUCUUGUGAGGUCUGGAUCUGCUUUGUGAUGAUGGUCCCCUGUCAGCCGCAUGUCCAAGCCCCCAUUGAAGGAGACCUGGGGAAUAGCAUCGUCUGCUAAUGGCUGCUGAGAUGAAGGUUCGUCUAGUCUGAGCUCUGAAGAUAACUGGCCGUAUGAACUUGGCCAAGCAUAUUUCCUUAUGUUGACCUCGAUUUCCUCACCCAGAACAGGGAAAAUCAGACAUGAUGGAAAUAAUUGUCAUCCCCAGCCUUAGAAUUCUUUGAUUUUGGUGCACAGGGAAUAUGUGAGUUAUUCAGACUAAAAAUAUCACAGAAGGAGACAUGUCAAAGGAGAAACUGGGACUCUCCAAUCUGGGGACACCCCAGAGGAACAGGAGGCCAUGAAACGGCACGUUAGCACCUCGGAGGCCUGGGAGGGCUGACAGGGAGCAGAAGUGGCCAUGUGGCCACAAGCGUCACCGGGGUGCUGCUCAGCCUGGUGGGCCUGGCGGCUGUGGCACUGCUGUUCUAUUGGUGGCUCCCGGGAAGAGCAGGAGGGAGGCCUGCCUGUGAUGCCUCCAGGUGAAGAAACUGAGGCUUAGAGAGACAACAUAAGGUGGUUGACGAAGGACUAGCAUAGACUGUCCUGUGUCUCUUGGAUCAAUACAGUUGGUGAGAUGACAAUUUGGACAGGAAAUAUUAAACAUAGACGGACCCUUACUAAUCUGUAUCCCUCCAACCAGGAUGACACUGGGGGCUUGGACACAGGCCGUCACGGCGUACUGCUUUCCAUCCUGGCCCCAGGGUGUUUGGGAGUUAAGGUGAGUUAUAUAAUCUGAGGCUGCCCAUAGCCUCCAGAUGUCUCUCUGGAUAAUGGGUAUGUUUGUGGUCAGUACAGGAGCCACAAACCCUUCUGGUUUGGGGAGCUGUGCCCCUGUAGUAUAAUCAAUCAAAGACACUGAGGUGGGAGUCUGGUAACGGACAGCUUGUGGCUAUUGGAUAGGCACAGUCCCUCCAUUUGAUAUGACCGUCAUUGUUGGGGGAAGGGCUUUGGGUGCACAGAGGGAGCUUCUUGGGGCUGACCUCCUGACGGUCCUGUAAAAGUUAACUGUGAUCUGUGUUUUAGGUAUGGAUUCUGUCUAUCUUUCCCUGAACCUGUUUUUGUUAUGUUUUCCAAAUGGAGGCAUCCCGUCAUGGGUGUUUGGGAGGCACAAAGUGGAGGAAGCCGGGACAGAACAACAUAAUUAAAGGCUGUCUGUUGAAGGGUUAUGUUUUUUGUCCUGCCUCCAAGUGGGAUGGAAGAAUUAAUCCAAACUAGGACUUGCUUGUCUUCCCACAUUACGGGAGCAAGCGCUGGGGGGUUUGGGAAGUACGUCCAAUACGUGUCCCCCCGUGUUAUACUUACCUGCCAUGUCAGAAUAACCAGUAUUGUAAUUAGGAACUUAUUAACCUGUUUCCAGGUCUCGGCCGAUCUCUUCCUCGCCCUCCUGGACUGUUUGCUGUCUGGUUUCUCCAUGGUGCUGUUUGACUAGGCGUUCUGGAAGCCACUGAGGACCAUCUGCUGUCCUAGGAAAACCACAAACAUGUCCUCUCCCCCACACCAGGACCGGAUCCGGUCCAUGCCAACUACCCAUGAGGGGGUCUUUCCAGCGGACGAGAGCCUCCGCAGCAGGACUGGGAUUCCAGAUACGAUCUGCUGCAGAGUGACCUUGAGCAUCCGUUUGUAAAAAAUUUAAAGUGAAAGUUCAUGGUUUA